rnacentral:rRNA from 1 species
UGGAGCAUGUGGUUUAAUUCGAUGGUACGCGAGGAACCUUACCAGGGCUUGACAUACGCCGGAAGCGCAUCGAAAGGUGCGUGCCGCUUGCGGCCGGCGUACAGGUGCUGCAUGGCUGUCGUCAGCUCGUGCUGUGAAGUGUUGGGUUAAGUCCCGCAACGACGCGCAACCCCUGCUGCCUGUUGCCACCACGAGGAGGUGGGGACUCAGGCGGGACCGCCGGUGACAAACCGGAGGAAGGUGGGGACGGACGUCAAGUCAUCAUGGCCCUUAUGUCCUGGGCUACACACGUGCUACAAUGGCCGGUACAGAGCGCAGCGAGGCCGCGAGGCGGAGCGAAUCGACUUAAAGCCGGUCCCAGUACGGAUUGGAGUCUGCAACCCGACUCCAUGAAGUUGGAAUCGCUAGUAAUCGCGCAUCAGCAUGGCGCGGUGAAUACGUUCCCGGGCCUU